CCUACGGGUGGCAGCAGUAGGGAAUUUUCGGCAAUGGGGGGAACCCUGACCGAGCAACGCCGCGUGGGGGAAUGAAGGUCUUCGGAUUGUAAACCCCUGUCAUGUGGGAGCAAAUUAAAAAGAUAGUACCACAAGAGGAAGAGACGGCUAACUCUGUGCCAGCAGCCGCGGUAAUACAGAGGUCUCAAGCGUUGUUCGGAAUCACUGGGCGUAAAGCGUGCGUAGGCUGUUUCGUAAGUCGUGUGUGAAAGGCGCGGGCUCAACCCGCGGACGGCACAUGAUACUGCGAGACUAGAGUAAUGGAGGGGGAACCGGAAUUCUCGGUGUAGCAGUGAAAUGCGUAGAUAUCGAGAGGAACACUCGUGGCGAAGGCGGGUUCCUGGACAUUAACUGACGCUGAGGCAAGAAGGCCAGGGGAGCGAAAGGGAUUAGAUACCCUGGUAGUC
rnacentral:rRNA from 1 species